rnacentral:rRNA from 1 species
GGGAGGGGAGUGAAAGAGAACCUGAAACCCUAUGUUUACAAGCAGACAAAGCACGUUAAGGUGCGAUGUCGUACUUUUUGUAGAACGGUCCGGCGAGUUAUUUUAUAUGGCAAGGUUAAGUACUUAAGGUACGAAGCCGAAGAGAAAUCGAGUCUGAAUAGGGCGAGAAAGUCAUAUGGAAUAGACCCGAAACCGAGUGACCUAUCCAUGAGCAGGUUGAAGCUUGAGUAAAAUCAAGUGGAGGACCGAACCCAUAAGCGUUAAAAAGCUUCGGGAUGACUUGUGGAUAGCGGAGAAAUUCCAAUCGAACUCGGAGAUAGCUGGUUCUCCUCGAAAUAGUUUUAGGACUAGCCUUGUUUAGUAGUACAUGGGGGUAGAGCACUGAAGGAGCUAGGGGCCAAACCAGGUUACCGAACUCUAUCAAACUCCGAAUACCAUGUAUGUAAGAACAGGAGUCAGACUGCGGGAGCUAAGUUCCGUGGUCAAAAGGGAAAGAGCCCAGAUCGUCAAUUAAGGUCCCAAAGAUAUAGUUAAGUGGAAAACGAUGUGAUUUUGCGUAAACAACCAGGAUGUUGGCUUAGAAGCAGCCAUUCAUUUAAAGAGUGCGUAAUAGCUCACUGGUCGAGUGAAGUUGCGCGGAAAAUUACCGGGGCUAAACUAUACACCGAAAUUGCGGAUUUGACUGUAUCUAACAAUGCUUAUUAUGUAGAAAAAUAAUUUGUGUUCGAACGAAGUGAGAACUAAAAUGAAAAAAGAAGAAACUAUAUAAAAAGUAAUAGGUAUUGUUAGAUACAGUUGAGUGGUAGAGGAGCAUUCUAUAGUAGGACGAAGCAUAACCGAAAGGAUAUGUGGACGAGAUAGAAGAGAGAAUGCCGGAAUAAGUAGCGAAAGCAUGGUGAGAAUCCAUGCCAUCGAAAGUCUAAGGUUUCCUGGGGAAGGUUCGUCCGCCCAGGGUAAGUCGGGACCUAAGGUGAGGCCGAAAGGCGUAGCCGAUGGACAGCAGGUUGAAAUUCCUGCACCACCGAAAUACUUAAAAGAUGCAAGGGACACAGGAGUGGAAGGAAAGCGAGGAAGAGGAAAAACUCGUAUCGAAAGAUAUAGUGAAAAUAGAAAGUAACGAAUUUCCAAGAAGCACACUGGCGAGAAAAGCUUGUAGAUAUUGUAUAGAGGUGCCCGUACCGCAAACCGACACAGGUAGAUGAGGAGAGGAUCCUAAGAUGAGCGAGAGAAGCAUUGUUAAGGAACUCGGCAAACUGACCCCGUAACUUAGGGAGAAGGGGUACUGGGAUAAAACCCAGUCGCAGAGAAUAGUCCCAAGCAACUGUUUAACAAAAACACAGGUUUCUGCUAAAUCGAAAGAUGAAGUAUAGGAGCUGACACCUGCCCAGUGCUGGAAGGUUAAGGGAAAAUGUCAAGAGUAAUCUGAAGCAUAGAACCAAAGCCCCAGUGAACGGCGGCCGUAACUAUAACGGUCCUAAGGUAGCGAAAUUCCUUGUCAGGUAAGUUCUGACCCGCACGAAAGGUGUAAUGAUUUGGGAGCUGUCUCGACAAUGUACUCGGCGAAAUUGUAGUACUAGUGAAGAUGCUAGUUACCUGCGACAAGACAGAAAGACCCCAUGGAGCUUUACUGUAGUUUGAUACUGGGUUUUGAUUAUUUAUGUACAGGAUAGGUGGGAGGCUAUGAAGCAUUGGCGCCAGUCGAUGUGGAGUCACCCUUGGGAUACCACCCUUAAAUGAUUGAAAUUCUAACCAAUAGUCAUAAACUGGCUAGGGGACAAUGUCAGACGGGCAGUUUGACUGGGGCGGUCGCCUCCAAAAGAGUAACGGAGGCGCGCAAAGGUUUCCUCAGCGCGGACAGAAAUCGCGCAAAAGAGUGCAAAGGCAGAAGGAAGCUUAACUGAGAGACUGACAAGUCGACCAGAUACGAAAGUAGGUCUUAGUGAUCCGGUGGUUGUAAGUGGAAAUGCCAUCGCUCAACGGACAAAAGUUACCCUGGGGAUAACAGGCUUAUCUCCCCCAAGAGUUCACAUCGACGGGGAGGUUUGGCACCUCGAUGUCGGCUCAUCACAUCCUGGAGCGGAAGUACGUUCCAAGGGUUGGGCUGUUCGCCCAUUAAGUUGGUACGCGAGCUGGGUUCAGAACGUCGUGAGACAGUUCGGUCCUUAUCUGUCGCAGGCGGAGGAUAUUUGAGGGGAGUUGGCCCUAGUACGAGAGGACCAGGCUGAACUUACCAAUGGUGCACCAGUUGUCAUACCAAUGGCAUAGCUGGGUAGCUAAGUAGGGAAGGGAUAAACGCUGAAAGCAUCUAAGUGUGAAGCCCACC